UAACUGAAAAUAAGAAACAGUUCUGGAGAACACUCUGCUUUAAAUUGAAUUCAUGAGCUAUGCAUUCUCACAAUCAAGGUUUUAAAUUGCAUUCGUGUUCAUGGAUAUGGUUGUGGUGUUAUUUUGUUGUGGCCAAAGUGUAAGGUUGUGGAUGCUGUUACUGUGAAAUGGGAACAGUUCUGUAGAAAGAUCUUGCAUUAAAUUUUAGAAGUAAUUGUGUUCAGGGACAUGAUUGGGGUAUUAGGGCGCAUGACCUAAGUGUAACCAUUGUAAUUGGUGCAACUGUGCAUUUUUUUAAGUAAAAAUUAGCUUUUAUGAAAGAGUGGGUAUAUGUAGUGUAAUGGCUCGAAUGGCAAAGAAACAGGGUUGAAAUGCCCAUAAAAAUCAAAUAACUCUGCUGAAUUGCCUGUUCCAAUUAACACAGUUGUUAAAACUAAGCUCAUAAUGACUAAUAAAAGAAUCAGAAAAUCAGUAGACGAAAUAGAAACUUCAGUGCCAUAACUUUGAAGUUUCUGUGAUGAGAAAGGCAUAUUGUUGAACCUGUUGUACUUGAACAAUAGCUAUAAAGAAAGAUUGUUGACCUUCUAGAAUUAUUUUCCUCAAUUAUAACUAAGUAUUUUGUAUUGAAAUGGAAACUUAGUAUUUCAUCCUUCUCAUAUUGAUUGUACACUGAAAAUCUAUAUCAGGGUUAGGCACACUUCUUCAACUUUAGACCCAUUACAAAUGAAUUCUUGGCUGCUAGGUGGAUUGUUUUUCCUUGAGCAGAUAAUUUUCUUUCUGAAAUCCUCAUAAUGUUACAAAAAUUGUUAUCCUC
rnacentral:misc_RNA from 1 species